rnacentral:snoRNA from 1 species
CCUGCCCCUAGAGGCAUUGCAGAUGUGGCUGCUGUGUUAAAAGUGCGUCAGUAGGUGGUGGUGUUCCGACUUAACAUCUGAAUGUUUAGUAGCAAGCCUGAGACAAA